CAGCCGCCGCGGUAAAACCAGCAGCCCAAGUGGUGGUCGCGUUUAUUGGGCCUAAAGCGCUCGUAGCCUGGCCGGUAAGUUCCCCGUGAAAUCGGGUCGCCCAACGAUUCGGCUUGCGGGGAAUACUGUCGGUCUUGGGGCCGGGAGACGCCGAGGGUACUCCGGGGGUAGCGGUGAGAUGCUGUAAUCCUCGGGGGACUACCAGUGGCGAAGGCGCUCGGCGAUAACGGGCCUGACGGUGAGGGGCGAAAGCUGGGGGCGCGAACGGGAUUAGAUACCCGCGUAGUCCCUGUCUCUUAUU
rnacentral:rRNA from 1 species